AGCGAGAAAGUCCCUUUCGGGGGGCGAGUACAGCGGCGCACGGGUGAGUAACGCGUGGGUAACCCACCCAGGAGUGGGGUAUAACUCGCCGAAAGGCGGGCUAAUCCCGCAUACGUCCCGCAAACACAUGUCUGUUGGAGAAAGAUGGCCUCUACUUGUAAGCUAUUGCUCUUGGACGGGCCCGCGUUAGAUUAGCUAGUUGGUGAGGUAAAGGCUCACCAAGGCUACGAUCUAUAGCUGGUUUGAGAGGACGACCAGCCACACUGGAACUGAGACACGGUCCAGACUCCUUCGGGAGGCAGCAGUGGGGAAUAUUGCGCAAUGGGGGAAACCCUGACGCAGCGACGCCGUGUGAGUGAUGAAGGCUUUCGGGUCGUAAAGCUCUGUCGGAUGGGACGAAUAAGGGCUGUGUGAAUAAUGCAGUCUGAUGACGGUACCGUCGAAGGAAGCACCGGCUAACUCCGUGCCAGCAGCCGCGGUAAUACGGAGGGUGCAAGCGUUGUUCGGAAUUAUUGGGCGUAAAGCACGUGUAGGCGGGUUUGUGUGUCAGAUGUGAAAGCCCUUGGCUCAACUGAGGAAGUGCAUCUGAAACUGCAAGUCUUGAGUACGAGAGAGGAGAGUGGAAUUCCCAGUGUAGAGGUGAAAUUCAUAGAUAUUGGGAAGAACACCAGUGGCGAAAGCGGCUCUCUGGCUCGAUACUGACGCUGAGACGUGAAAGCGUGGGGAGCAAACAGGAUUAGAUACCCUGGU
rnacentral:rRNA from 1 species